AACCUCCGGCCCCCUGGGGGGGGAGGGUAACAGGCCCCGGCACAGGGUUUAAGAACAUCUCAAUGAAUUGAACGGGGGCCCGCACAAGCGGUGGAGCAUGUGGUUUUAUUCGAUGCGCACGCGAAGAACCUUACCUACUCUCUGACAUACUCAGAGGACUUGGCAGAGAUGCCGUUGGGUGCCCUUUCGGGAGGCUCUUGAGAACAGGGUGCGUGGCAUGGCGUGUGCGUCUAGCGUCUGUGUUGUGAGAAUAGUUGGGUUAAGUCUCCGCGAACGAGCGCGAACCCUUAUCCUUUGUUGCCAGAUGAUUCGGUCGGGAACUCAAAGGAGACUGCCGGUGAUAAACCGGAGGAAGGUGGGGAUGACGUCAAGUCAUCAUGGCCCUUACGAGCUAGGGCUACACACGUGCUACAAUGGCGCAUACAAAGAGUAGCGACCCUGCGAAGGCGAGCGGACCUCAUAAAGUGCGUCUGUAGUCCGGAUUGGAGUCUGCAACUCGCACUCCAUGAAGCUCGGAAUCGCUAGUAAUCGUAGAUCAGCAAUGCUACGGUGAAUACGUUCCCGGGCCUUGUACACACCGCCCGUCACACCAAUGGGAGUGGGUAGCACACAAGAAGUAGGUAGCUUAACCAUUCGGGGGGGCGCCUGUACCACUU
rnacentral:rRNA from 1 species